GACGGAGGAUGCAAGCGUUAUCCGGAAUGAUUGGGCGUAAAGCGUCCGCAGGUGGCAGUUCAAGUCUGCUGUCAAAGACCGGGGCUUAACUUCGGAAAGGCAGUGGAAACUGAACAGCUAGAGUAUGGUAGGGGCAGAGGGAAUUCCUGGUGUAGCGGGUGAAAUGCGUGAGAGAUCAGGAAGAACAUCGGUGGCGAAGGCGCUCUGCUGGACCAUAACUGACACUCAGGGACGAAAGCUAGGGGAGCGAAUGGG
rnacentral:rRNA from 1 species